rnacentral:rRNA from 1 species
UUAGGAAUAUUCGUCAAUGGGGGAAACCCUGAACGAGCAAUGCCGCGUGAGUGAUGAAGGCCCUAUGGGUUGUAAAACUCUGUUAUUUGGGAAGAAAGGCUAGUAUAGGAAAUGAUGCUAGUUUGACGGUACCUUAUCAGAAAGCCCCGGCUAACUACGUGCCAGCAGCCGCGGUAAUACGUAGGGGGCGAGCGUUAUCCGGAUUUAUUGGGCGUAAAGCGUGUGUAGGCGGUUUGUUAAGUAUAAGAUUAAAGCCCGGGGCUCAACUCCGGUUCGUCUUAUAAACUGGCAGACUUGAGUGUGGUAGAGGCAAGUGGAAUUUCUAGUGUAGCGGUUAAAUGCGUAGAUAUUAGAAGGAACACCAGUGGCGAAGGCGGCUUGCUGGGCCAUUACUGACGCUGAGACACGAAAGCGUGGGGAGCAAAUAGG